rnacentral:rRNA from 1 species
UAAUUGAAGAGUUUGAUCAUGGCUCAGAUUGAACGCUGGCGGCAGGCCUAACACAUGCAAGUCGAGCGGCAGCACAGAGGAACUUGUUCCUUGGGUGGCGAGCGGCGGACGGGUGAGU